UACGUAGGGUGCAAGCGUUAAUCGGAAUUACUGGGCGUAAAGCGUGCGCAGGCGGUCUUGCAAGACAGGUGUGAAAUCCCCGGGCUUAACCCUGGGAACUGCACUUGUGACUGCAAGGCUGGAGUACGGCAGAGGGGGAUGGAAUUCCGCGGUGUAGCAGUGAAAUGCGUAGUAUAUGCGGAGGAACACCGAUGGCGAAGGCAAUCCCCUGGGCCUGUAC
rnacentral:rRNA from 1 species